rnacentral:misc_RNA from 1 species
GAUGAAGAACGUAGCGAAAUGCGAUAAGUAAUGCGAAUUGCAGAAUUUCCGUGAGUCAUCGAAUCUUUGAACGCACAUUGCGCCCACUGGUAUUCCGGUGGGCAUGCCUGUUCGAGCGUCAUUAUCCUCCCUCAAACCCCGGGUUUGGUGUUGGACCCAAGUUGUGUGAACAACUGGUCUCAAAGACAAUGACGGCGUCCGUGGGACCCUCGGUGCAACGAGCUUUUAGGAGCACGCAUCGAGUUGCAAGGACCUUCCGGGCCGGUCUCCUUUACCAUUUUACAAGGUUGACCUCGGAUCAGGUAGGAAUACCCGCUGAACUUAAGCAUAUCAAUAGCGGAGGA